UACGUAGGGGUCGAGCGUUGUCCGGAGUUACUGGGCGUAAAGCGUGCGCAGGCGGCUCAUCGCGCUCGGCGUGAAAGCCCCCGGCUCAACCGGGGAGGGUCGUCGAGGACGGAUGGGCUUGAGGGUAUCAGGGGUUGGUGGAAUUCCCGGUGUAGUGGUGAAAUGCGUAGAGAUCGGGAGGAAUACCGGUGGCGAAGGCGGCAUCCUGGACCGACAUUGACGCUGAUGAGCGAAAGCUAGGGGAGCAAACGGG
rnacentral:rRNA from 1 species